AAAUAACAUCGUGGAAGAGACCUAAAAAACACAGAGAGAGAGCAGGAAGGAGUGGAAACAGGGAAAGAUGCAAGACCACCCCGGGGGAAAUUGCCCUACAUUGUAUGUGCUGACAACACACCAACGCAGAGAUUAACUCUGUGAAGCGCCACUGAAAACAUCCCUCCCCUGCACGUCUCUAUAGGCCAUUAAUCUGAGAUGACAUGCGGGAGACCGGCGAGAGGCAGAAGGCUGUCAGAGCCAGGGCAGCAGGAGAAAAACAGCAUUGAUGCAGGAAGAUAGAGUGUAACUAUGUAGACUCAAUCGUGAACGAGGUAUGUAAGUGUAGUUU